AGCAGCCGCGGUAAUUCCAGCUCCAAUAGCGUAUAUUAAAGUUGUUGCAGUUAAAAAGCUCGUAGUUGAACUUCGGGGUCUACCCAUUGGUCAGGCUUAAUUGUCUGCACUGGCGGGAUGGAUCUCUACCUUCUGAGGAACUUUCAUGCCAUUUAUUUGGUGUGAUGGGAAAUCAGGACUGUUACUUUGAAAAAAUUAGAGUGCUUAAAGCAGACUAACGUCUGAAUACAUUAGCAUGGAAUAAUGAAAUAGGACGGACUGAUUCUAUUUCGUUGGUUUCUAGGAUCACCGUAAUGAUUAAUAGGGAUAGUUGGGGGCAUUAGUAUUCAAUUGUCAGAGGUGAAAUUCUUGGAUUUAUUGAAGACUAACUACUGCGAAAGCAUUUGCCAAGGAUGUUUUCAUUAAUCAAGAACGAAAGUUAGGGGAUCGAAGACGAUCAGAUACCGUCGU
rnacentral:rRNA from 1 species